UGUGAUGGGUUACGCGGCGCGGAGGGGGCUGCGCGUUUGGGCCUGGCUCGGCUCCCGUCCCCCUCGGCGGGUGCUGGCGCCGGCUGCAGCCAUGGACCUGGGGCCGCUGAGGAAAAGCUACCGGGGGGACGAGGAGGCAUUUGAGGAGAAACAUCUUGCCUCCUUUGACCCAAUUAAGCAGUUUGCCAUGUGGUUUGAAGAGGCCAUGCGGUGCCCCUCAAUCGGUGAAGCCAAUGCUAUGUGCCUGGCCACCUGUACCAGGGAUGGGAGGCCCUCUGCCCGCAUGGUGCUCCUGAAGGGGUUUAGCCAGGAUGGCUUUCGAUUCUUCACUAACCACGAGAGCCGGAAAGGAAAGGAGCUGGACUCCAAUCCUUUAGCCUCAGUCGUCUUUUACUGGGAGCCCCUUAAUCGCCAGGUGCGUAUCGAGGGCUCUGUGGAGAGACUUCCAGAGGAGGAAUCGGAGCACUACUUCCACUCCCGGCCCCGAAGCAGCCAGAUCGGGGCUGUCGUGAGUCGCCAGAGCACAGUGAUUCCCGACAGGGAGUAUUUAAGGAAGAAGAACACAGAGCUGGAAGAGCUGUACCGGGAGGGCACUGUGCCAAAGCCUGCAUACUGCUUUUCCAUUGUCGGUUUAGAGCCGCUGUACCUUGUAUGCAGCUGAGUGUAAGCUGGCCUGUCAGGCUGAGGACAGCUAGGAUAGCUACAGUGAAUCUGACGACAGAGGAAAUAGACCAGGAUUUUCUACUCACAGUGACCAAUUACAAAGGCGCAUCAGCACUGCCUGACCUAGAGAUACAGCAGAGCUCUUGAAGACAUUCAGCAAUAUACUGGAGUGAGUCAGAAAAACCUCACAUGGGCGCAGCUGGGCAGCCUCCCCUGGGUCGGUCUGUCCAUUUGUGCAGCCAGGGAAGGAUGGGAAAACCGAGGCACGGAGAGAGAAGCGAUUCGCCCAAGACCACACAGUGAGUCGGUGGUGGAACCAGGAAGGAAUCCCAGACCUGACUCCCAAGCCAGCUGCCCCUUCUAUUCACAGAUCCGGUGACAUAGGAACUGCUGCUGCAGCUCUGAUUAGUGGUCUAUCCAGGCUGAUCUUCUCUGCUGGCCAGUUCUCUGAUGGUGCAGUCCCAGCUGUUCUACACUAUCCCAGAGAGAGAAGCAUCUUCCUGACCCCCAUCUGGCAAACACCUGUAACUGAAGACUGGUGGAUCUGCUUAUUUUUAUCCUAGCUGCUUUCCCUGCAGAUAUGAUUCUUAUCCGUCUGGACGUCCGAUGCUCUUUUGAAGCAUGCUCCACCAUUUGACUCAUUAACAUCCCGCCUAUCUACCCAGCCAUCUAUCCUGCGGCAGCCGGUUCAGUAGGUUAACUGUAUGUUGCAUAAAAUAGCGUUUCUGUUGGGCCAUUUUAUAGGUCAGCCGUUCUCUUUGCUCACUCUACAGCUCCUGGAGGCUACGGCUCAGGUUAUGAUGCAUACAAGAGGCAGGGCAGGGCAGUGGUUUGAGUGGCGAACGGGAAGUCAGGACUCCGGGGUUCUCUGCCCCUGACUUCCUGAGGUGACUUGGCCAGUCAUUUCACCUCUGUGGCCUCAAUCUGAGACCUGCGUGUAAAUCCAAGGAAAAUGGCCUUUCCCAUAGCGCUUGGCACAGCCUUUAGCCCCUAAUACUCUAGCUAGAAGGAGUUUGUGCCUAGCUGUGCAUGCACUGAGAAGGCCCGGGGAUGAUAGUGCUUUGCCUGUCUCUAGUGCUACCCAUAUGAGGAGCUUAAAGCCGUGAAUGAAUUAGGCCUCGCUACUCCCCAGGAGACAGGGACUUACCAUUCUCCCUGUUUUGCAGAAGGGGAAACUGAGGCAUAGAGCAGGGACCUGGACUGCCUGAGAUCACGCAGCGAAUCAGUGGCAGAACCGUAACGGGAAUCCAGGAGUCUUGCUCUAGCUAUUCGUGGCUCUGUUUCCCAAGUUUUGCACAGGAUGGAAGGGCAGGCUCCCCUAGGGUUAUACUGAUUCUCUGAUGACCUUUGAAGGCUUCUCUGAGUGCUGCCUUCUAACCCUUCCCCAAUGGGGCAGGAGUGGACAAGGAAGACAGAGUCCUGCGUCUGGGGCUCUGGAACAGAUGAGGCUGGAACCAGAGCAAGCCAGGAAACGUUCACAUCCAGGGAAUAAACAAAGGAACCAAGAUGGCGGAGCCAGUCCGACCAGGGUAGGGCGGGUGUGGCCUUUGGGUUGCUCAACCAGACCGCACUCCUCUUUGGCACAGCUGAAGUCACGGAGGGUGGGUUUGCCAGGACUCCCUGGUUCACGAUGAGGCUGAUCUGUUCCUGGUAAAUCUUUGCUGGGAUCCUUUGUGUUUCCAGGAAGCAAGUGGAGUUCAGCCAAGGAAUCUCAGGCGAUUCCUUAGCCGGAGGCAAUGGAUGCUGCUCCUGAUGCCUGGGGGUGCAG